CUAAACUCUCGCUUGGUGACCAGCGGAGGGACAUUACCGAGUUUACAACUCCCAAACCCCUGGGAACAUACCAAUUGUUGCCUCGGCGGAUCAGCCCGCUCCCGGUAAAACGGGACGGCCCGCCAGAGGACCCCUAAACUCUGUUUCUAUAUGUAACUUCUGAGUAAAACCAUAAAUAAAUCAAAACUUUCAACAACGGAUCUCUUGGUUCUGGCAUCGAUGAAGAACGCAGCAAAAUGCGAUAAGUAAUGUGAAUUGCAGAAUUCAGUGAAUCAUCGAAUCUUUGAACGCACAUUGCGCCCGCCAGUAUUCUGGCGGACAUGCCUGUUCGAGCGUCAUUUCAACCCUCAAGCCCAGCUUGGUGUUGGGACUCGCGAGUCAAAUCGCGUUCCCCAAAUGGAUUGGCGGUCACGUCAAGCUUCCAUAGCGUACUAGUAAAACCCUCGUUACUGGUAAUCGUCGCGGCCACGCCGUUAAACCCCAACUUCUGAAUGUUGACCUCGGAUCACGUAGGAAUACCCGCUGAACUUAAGCAUAUCAAUAAGGCGAAGGAA
rnacentral:rRNA from 1 species